rnacentral:rRNA from 1 species
GGGGCUUUGGUCAUGGGCGCAGCCUGAUCUGCCAUGCCGCGUGUGUGAUGAAGGCCUUCGGGUUGUAAAGCUCUUUUGGUCGGGAAGAAACUGACCCUACCUGUAGCAGUAUGGUCCGGACCGCUACCGAGUACAGUUCGCGCCGGCUCACUUCCGAUGCCACCAGGCG